GAUUGGGGGGGCAGACCAAGCUGGAAAUUUAGCCAGGCUACUGGGGAAUCCCCCACUCUUUGCGAUAAGUGCCAUGGGAUCUUUAAUGACCACAGUGAGUC